rnacentral:rRNA from 1 species
AAUGAACCGGCGAGUUACGAUUUGAUGCAAGGUUAAGCAGUAAAUGUGGAGCCGUAGCGAAAGCGAGUCUGAAUAGGGCGUUUAGUAUUUGGUCGUAGACCCGAAACCAGGUGAUCUACCCUUGGUCAGGUUGAAGUUCAGGUAACACUGAAUGGAGGACCGAACCGACUUACGUUGAAAAGUGAGCGGAUGAACUGAGGGUAGCGGAGAAAUUCCAAUCGAACCUGGAGAUAGCUGGUUCUCUCCGAAAUAGCUUUAGGGCUAGCCUCAAGUGAUGAUUAUUGGAGGUAGAGCACUGUUUGGACGAGGGGCCCCUCUCGGGUUACCGAAUUCAGACAAACUCCGAAUGCCAAUUAAUUUAACUUGGGAGUCAGAACAUGGGUGAUAAGGUCCGUGUUCGAAAGGGAAACAGCCCAGACCACCAGCUAAGGUCCCAAAAUAUAUGUUAAGUGGAAAAGGAUGUGGCGUUGCCCAGACAACUAGGAUGUUGGCUUAGAAGCAGCCAUCAUUUAAAGAGUGCGUAAUAGCUCACUAGUCGAGUGACACUGCGCCGAAAAUGUACCGGGGCUAAACAUAUUACCGAAGCUGUGGAUUGUCCUUUGGACAAUGGUAGGAGAGCGUUCUAAGGGCGUUGAAGCAUGAUCGUAAGGACAUGUGGAGCGCUUAGAAGUGAGAAUGCCGGUGUGAGUAGCGAAAGACGGGUGAGAAUCCCGUCCACCGAUUGACUAAGGUUUCCAGAGGAAGGCUCGUCCGCUCUGGGUUAGUCGGGUCCUAAGCUGAGGCCGACAGGCGUAGGCGAUGGAUAACAGGUUGAUAUUCCUGUACCACCUAUAAUCGUUUUAAUCGAUGGGGGGACGCAGUAGGAUAGGCGAAGCGUGCGAUUGGAUUGCACGUCUAAGCAGUAAGGCUGAGUAUUAGGCAAAUCCGGUACUCGUUAAGGCUGAGCUGUGAUGGGGAGAAGACAUUGUGUCUUCGAGUCGUUGAUUUCACACUGCCGAGAAAAGCCUCUAGAUAGAAAAUAGGUGCCCGUACCGCAAACCGACACAGGUAGUCAAGAUGAGAAUUCUAAGGUGAGCGAGCGAACUCUCGUUAAGGAACUCGGCAAAAUGACCCCGUAACUUCGGGAGAAGGGGUGCUCUUUAGGGUUAACGCCCAGAAGAGCCGCAGUGAAUAGGCCCAAGCGACUGUUUAUCAAAAACACAGGUCUCUGCUAAACCGUAAGGUGAUGUAUAGGGGCUGACGCCUGCCCGGUGCUGGAAGGUUAAGAGGAGUGGUUAGCUUCUGCGAAGCUACGAAUCGAAGCCCCAGUAAACGGCGGCCGUAACUAUAACGGUCCUAAGGUAGCGAAAUUCCUUGUCGGGUAAGUUCCG